CCUACGGGUGGCAGCAGUGAGGAAUAUUGGUCAAUGGGAGAGAUCCUGAACCAGCCAAGCCGCGUGAGUGAAGACGGCCCUCUGUGUUGUAAACCUCUUUUGUCGGGGAACAAAACCCGGGACGUGUCCCGGACUGCGUGUAUCCGAAGAAAAAGCAUCCGCUAACUCCGUGCCAGCAGCCGCGGUAAUACGGAGGAUGCGAGCGUUAUCCGGAUUUAUUGGGUUUAAAGGGUGCGUAGACGGUCCGUUAAGUCAGCAGGGAAAGGUGGGGGCUCAAACCCCGUAGAGCAUUUGAAACUGGCAGACUUGAGUUGGUGAGAAGUAAGCGGAAUGCGUGGUGUAGCGGUGAAAUGCAUAGAUAUCGCGAAGAACUCCGAUUGCGAAGGCAGCGUACCGGACUCAGACUGACGCUGAGGCUCGAAAGCGUGGGGAUCGAACAGGAUUAGAUACCCUAGUAGUC
rnacentral:rRNA from 1 species